rnacentral:tRNA from 1 species
ACGGGCGUUGGUUAAUGGCAAACCACCCGCCUCCAGAGCGGGAACUGGGGGUUCGAAUCCCUCCGCCCGUG